UACGUAGGGCGCAAGCGUUGUCCGGAAUUAUUGGGCGUAAAGAGCUCGUAGGCGGCUUGUCGCGUCUGUUGUGAAAGCCCGGGGCUUAACCCCGGGUCUGCAGCCGAUACGGGCAGGCUAGAGUUCGGUAGGGGAGACUGGAAUUCCUGGUGUAGCGGUGGAAUGCGCAGAUAUCAGGAGGAACACCGAUGGCGAAGGCAGAUCUCUGGGCCGUAACUGACGCUGAGGAGCGAAAGCGUGGGGAGCGAACAGG
rnacentral:rRNA from 1 species